GGCAGCCAUUUAGCUGCGUCUCAUUGGAAGAACACGUGUCUGCGCUGCCGUUGCUGAUGCUGUAGGUCCAGUAGUUCUCGAACUGAUAGGGGCAGGCCACUUUGGAGGACGAAAUAGUGUCUGAGAAGCAAAUUGGAUAGAUAAAGGGAACCUGUACGUCCCCGUGUCGUAGGAGGACGUAGAACAGAUGUCGCUGUAGACGGGGGUGGCGCCGCUGAUGUACAUCUUAACGUUCUCGCCGCCAGCAUCCGACAACGCAGCUGUGGAAAUAGACAAAAUGUUCGUUCUCGAAAUCGCAAAAUGUAAUAUUUAUCAAAUACUCGAAAGAGUAACUUUGAAUUAAAUUGGAGCCGUGAUACCAUUGUAAA